CACGACUGAGCAACUUCACUUUCACUUUUCACUUUCAUGCAUUGGAGAGGAAAUGGCAACCCACUCUAGUGUUCUUGCCUGGAGAAUCCCAGGGACGGGAGGCCUGGUGGGCUGCCGUCUGUGGGGUCUCACAGAGUCGGACACGACUGAAGCGACACAGCAGCAGCCGCAGCAGCAAAGCAAGAACAAGUCAUCCUGUCUUCACCUAGCCCUACUCAAAUUCUCUAAGUUCACAGAAUUUCUAGAUGAAACUUGGAUGGGCAAUACAAAACUGAAUUUGGAAAGAUGCCUGGAAUUAUCCUACAUGAAUGCCACUCAAACAAGAAGGAAAUUUUUAAAAAUCGGUUGGCAAAGAGUAAAAGGUAAUUUUUCAGAGGGUCAAGUUUGCUAAUCUUUCCACAGAAACUAUGCAACAAUACUGGGCACAUAAUACUCAUUCAAUGGAUUAACUAAUGAGUGAUUGAGUUAACAAUCCAAUUUUUCAGAGGAAAAACACCCCAAUUGAUCGCUGUUGUCUAUACUGACAGAACUCAUUUAUUCUGAAUACUUAAGAGACCUAGAAUAUUUUUAUUUCAAUUUUCUGACGAGAACGCACACGUUGAAAAAGAAUCAGGAAUUAUGAAUGAUGCUCAUGUCAAAGAGUGGUCAACUGAGUGGCUAUUCAUAUAUUUAUUAGAAAUUUGGUUUCUUGCCAUUUUAUUUCCAUCCAGCCAUCAGUGGAAGUGAUGCUCAUAAAUAUUUUAUUGAAUAGCUUUCAUUUUAACAUAAGCAACAAGUUGGAGAGCAGAUGCUUCCACAUCUACGGGGUUGUCUUUGUGAUGAAACCAAUGCCAGGGCUGCUUAAGCAAGAACUUUCAUAUUGGCUAGGUCUCAGGAUCAACUGUCCUCAUCAGGAUUUAUUAUUCUUUUCAAGUUAUCAUAUAAUAACUUUUUAAAAUAUUUUAUUGAAUAGUCUGAAUAAAGCCCUUCAAAUUCUCAACUAAAAACAGCAACAUUUUGGGAUAAUUACCUGACAGCUCCCUUUCUGAACACCUGGCCUACUACAAAUCCUCUCUUC
ensembl:lncRNA